UAAGCUCAGUCAGGCGCGCCUGCUUCAAGCGCCCUCAGUCCGAGUCCGGGACACUGGAGGUCCCGGCAGUUGGCGUUCUGUUCCCGUCCCCUCCCUGCCCCCUCCCCCUUUUGUACACCGUGGACGUGCCACCCGCUCGCAGCCCUCUGGGCCUGGGGCCGGGCCUCGGCCUUCCUUUCUCUCCUCUCCGCGGCAGAGCCAGGCCGCGAGGGGCCGGGAACGGGCCCCGCGAUCUCCCAGGCAGAUCCAGAAGGACUGCUCUGCCGCCUUUGCUACUCUAUUCAGAGACAGGCAGACUGGGGCAACUAUCAUAGUCAUCCACACCCUCUGCCGAAGUUCAGGUAAGCCAGGUGGAGAGCAGGGUGAGAGUGGUUUUUGCUCUCCAUAGGCAGGGAGAGGCCUUAGGAGGGCAGCAGUGGAUGUCUUCAUUGAGAAGCAGCCCCAAGCACUCCACUGGUUCUCAAAAGUAUAGCCAACAGAAAUUAGGAAGUUAGUAGAAAUGCAAAUUAUUGGGCGGCACCUUAUGGAUCAGAAACUGGCGUGGAGCCUAGGAAUCUGUUUUGCUAAGCCCUCCAGUGGUCACGAGGCACGCUGAAGUUCUGAGCACCAGUGAACUACGCAGUGGCACUGUAGUCAUCACUACUUUGCAGCCUCUUGAGUUAAGUCAGGAGAUGAGGUGGUUCUCAUCUCUAGGUGCCUCCUCCUUGCCUUGGGAGUCUGAAC
rnacentral:lncRNA from 1 species